rnacentral:rRNA from 1 species
GAUGAACGCUAGCGGGAGGCUUAACACAUGCAAGUCGAGCGGGAUUAGCAGCAAUGCUAUGAGAGCGGCGCACGGGUGCGUAACGCGUAUGCAACCUGCCUUAUACAGGGGAAUAGCCCAUGGAAACGUGGAUUAAUGUCCCAUAGGAUUACAGAUUCGCAUGGAUUUGUGAUUAAAACUGAGGUGGUAUAAGAUGGGCAUGCGUCUGGUUAGGUAGUUGGUAGGGUAAUGGCCUACCAAGCCGACGAUCAGUAGGGGUUCUGAGAGGAUUACCCCCCACACUGGUACUGAGACACGGACCAGACUCCUACGGGAGGCAGCAGUAGGGAAUAUUGGUCAAUGGUGGGAACACUGAACCAGCCAUUCCGCGUGCAGGAAGAAGGGUCUCUGACUUGUAAACUGCUUUAGCAAGGGAAGAAAAAGCUCAUGCGUGAGAAAUUGACGGUACCUUGAGAAUAAGCACCGGCUAACUCUGUGCCAGCCGCCGCGGUAAGAC